rnacentral:rRNA from 1 species
UGGUGGGUAGUUUGACUGGGGCGGUCUCCUCCCAAAGAGUAACGGAGGAGCACGAAGGUGGGCUAAUCACGGUUGGACAUCGUGAGGUUAGUGCAAUGGCAUAAGCCCGCUUGACUGCGAGAAUGACAAUUCGAGCAGGUGCGAAAGCAGGUCAUAGUGAUCCGGUGGUUCUGAAUGGAAGGGCCAUCGCUCAACGGAUAAAAGGUACUCCGGGGAUAACAGGCUGAUACCGCCCAAGAGUUCAUAUCGACGGCGGUGUUUGGCACCUCGAUGUCGGCUCAUCACAUCCUGGGGCUGAAGUCGGUCCCAAGGGUAUGGCUGUUCGCCAUUUAAAGUGGUACGCGAGCUGGGUUUAGAACGUCGUGAGACAGUUCGGUCCCUAUCUGCCGUGGGCGUUGGAAGAUUGAAGGGGGCUGCUCCUAGUACGAGAGGACCGGAGUGGACGAACCUCUGGUGUUCGGGUUGUGUCGCCAGACGCAUUGCCCGGUAGCUAAGUUCGGAAUCGAUAACCGCUGAAAGCAUCUAAGCGGGAAGCGAGCCCUGAGAUGAGUCUUCCCUGAUACUUUAAGUAUCCUAAAGGGUUGUCGGAGAC